rnacentral:rRNA from 1 species
CCUACGGGAGGCAGCAGUGAGGAAUAUUGGUCAAUGGGCGCGAGCCUGAACCAGCCAAGUAGCGUGAAGGAUGACUGCCCUACGGGUUGUAAACUUCUUUUAUAAAGGAAUAAAGUGAGGCACGUAUGCCUUUUUGUAUGUACUUUAUGAAUAAGGAUCGGCUAACCCCGUUCCAGCAGCCGCGGUAAUACGGAGGAUCCGAGCGUUAUGCGGAUUUAUUGGGUUUAACGGGAGCGUAGAUGGGUUGUUAAGUCAGUUGUGAAAGCUUGCGGCUCAACCGGAAAAUUGCAAUUGAUACUGGCAGUCUUGAGUGCAGUUGAGGUAGGCGGAAUUCGUGGUGUAGCGGUGAAAUGCGUAGAUAUCACGAAGAACUCCGAUUGCGAAGGCAGCUUACUAAACUGCAACUGACAUUGAUGCUCGAAAGUGUGGGUAUCAAACAGGAUUAGAUACCCUGGUAGUC